AGGACGAACGCUGGCGGCGUGCUUAACACAUGCAAGUCGAGCGGUAAGGCUCCUUCGGGAGUACACGAGCGGCGAACGGGUGAGUAACACGUGAGCAAUCUGCCCUUCUCAUCGGAAUAACCAUUGGAAACGAUGGCUAAUGCCGAAUACGACCUCCCUUCGCAUGUUGGGAGGUGGAAAGCUCCGGCGGAGAAGGAUGAGCUCGCGGCCUAUCAGCUUGUUGGCGGGGUAACGGCCCACCAAGGCAACGACGGGUAGCCGGCCUGAGAGGGUGACCGGCCACACUGGGACUGAGACACGGCCCAGACUCCUACGGGAGGCAGCAGUGGGGAAUAUUGGACAAUGGGCGAAAGCCUGAUCCAGCAACGCCGCGUGAGGGAUGACGGCCUUCGGGUUGUAAACCUCUUUCAGCAGGGACGAAGCGAAAGUGACGGUACCUGCAGAAGAAGGACCGGCCAACUACGUGCCAGCAGCCGCGGUAAUACGUAGGGUCCGAGCGUUGUCCGGAAUUAUUGGGCGUAAAGGGCUCGUAGGCGGUCUGUCGCGUCGGGAGUGAAAACUCAGGGCUUAACCCUGAGCGUGCUUCCGAUACGGGCAGACUAGAGGGAUGCAGGGGAGAACGGAAUUCCUGGUGUAGCGGUGGAAUGCGCAGAUAUCAGGAGGAACACCGGUGGCGAAGGCGGUUCUCUGGGCAUUACCUGACGCUGA
rnacentral:rRNA from 1 species